AUAAAGAUUCUGCCGAAUCCGCACUUUAGUCCCAUCAUUGCGGUACGGGGGAACCAAUCAGUGCACUAAUUUAUAAGUGUACAGGGGUGAAUCGCUUUUCGGACUUGGGGGAGAACCGGAAGCGUAGGGCGAACCUUUCGACCGAACCCUUCAGCUUACCCCGGAGGCAGCGAAAGGAGGAAGA
rnacentral:sRNA from 1 species